GACGAACGCUGGCGGCGUGCUUAACACAUGCAAGUCGACAUGAGUGGCGAACGGGGGAGUAAUACGUGGGUAACCUUCCCUCCUUUUUGGGAUAAGCCUUGGAAACGGGGUCUAAUACCGAAUAAAGGGGGAUGGGCUCGCGGCCUAUCAGCUUGUUGGUGGGGUGAUGGCCUACCAAGGCGGUGACGGUUAGCCGGCCGUAGAGGGUGAACGUGGACAUGGGGACUGAGAUACUGCCCAGACUCGUACGGGAGGCAGCAGUGGGGGAUAUUGCACAAUGGGCGAAAGCCUGAGGCAGCGACGCCGAGUGGGGGAUGAAGGCUUUGGGGUUGUAAACCUCUUUCGGUAUCGAACGGGUAGGUAGAGAAGAAGCGCCGGCUAACUACGUGCCAGCAGCCGCGGUAAUAC
rnacentral:rRNA from 1 species